rnacentral:tRNA from 1 species
GGGCGAGUGGCGAAACGGUAAACGCAGCGGGCUUAAAACCCGCCGCCCACGCGGGCCUGUGGGUUCGACUCCCACCUCGCUCA